GCACGGGUGGCAGAGCGGCUAUUGCACCUGACUGUAAAUCAGGCGUCUCACGCGGACUUCGGAGGUUCGAGUCCUUCCCCGUGGA
rnacentral:tRNA from 1 species